UACAGAGGUCCCAAGCGUUACUGAGAAUCACUGGGUUUAAAGGGUGCGUAGGUGGUCCGUUAAGUCAGUCGUGAAAUCCCCGGGCUCAACCUGGGAAUUGCGCUCGAUACUCUAGUGCUUGAGUUCGGGAGAGGAGCGUGGAAUUCCCAGUGUAGAGGUGAAAUUCGUAGAUAUUCGCAAGAACACCAGUGGCGAAGGCGGCUCACUGGCCCGGUACUGACGCUGAGGUGCGAAAGCGUGGGGAGCAAACAGG
rnacentral:rRNA from 1 species